rnacentral:rRNA from 1 species
UACGUAGGGUGCGAGCGUUAAUCGGAAUUACUGGGCGUAAGCGUGCGCAGGCGGUUUUGUAAGCCAGGUGUGAAAUCCCCGGGCUCAACCUGGGAAUGGCAUUUGGGACUGCAAGGCUGGAGUGCGGCAGAGGAGACUGGAAUUCCUGGUGUAGCAGUGAAAUGCGUAGAUAUCAGGAGGAACACCGAUGGCGAAGGCAGGUCUCUGGGCUGACACUGACGCUCAUGCACGAAGGCGUGGGGAGCAAACAGG